UUUUGAGGUAGAGGUGCGGUCUUUAUUAGUACUUUCGCAGAGGUAAGCACAAUGAAGCGAAGGAAAAGGAAAGGUCGUCGGAGCAUGCAGCUAAUGCUUUAUGGCUGUAGGGCUGGUUCUGUAUAGAAUAUGUACAGUAACUGUCACAAAUGCGUAAUUUGUGGAGAGCUAUCUAGAUA
rnacentral:ncRNA from 1 species